rnacentral:rRNA from 1 species
UACGUAGGGGGCAAGCGUUGUCCGGAUUUAUUGGGCGUAAAGCGCGUGUAGGCGGCCAGAAAAGUCCGCUGUGAAAACUCGAGGCUCAACCUCGAGACGUCGGUUGAAACCACCUGGCUAGAGUCCGGAAGAGGAGAGUGGAAUUCCCGGUGUAGCGGUGAAAUGCGCAGAUAUCGGGAAGAACACCGGUGGCGAAGGCGGCGUCCUGGACCAAUACUGACACUGAUGAGCGAAAGCCAGGGGAGCAAACGGG